rnacentral:rRNA from 1 species
GAUGAACGCUGGCGGCGUGCCUAAUACAUGCAAGUCGAGCGAACAGAUGAGGAGCUUGCUCCUCUGACGUUAGCGGCGGACGGGUGAGUAACACGUGGAUAACCUACCUAUAAGACUGGGAUAACUUCGGGAAACCGGAGCUAAUACCGGAUAAUAUAUUGAACCGCAUGGUUCAAUAGUGAAAGACGGUUUUGCUGUCACUUAUAGAUGGAUCCGCGCCGCAUUAGCUAGUUGGUAAGGUAACGGCUUACCAAGGCAACGAUGCGUAGCCGACCUGAGAGGGUGAUCGGCCACACUGGAACGGAGACACGGUCCAGACUCCUAAGGGAGGCAGCAGUAGGGAAUCUUCCGCAAUGGGCGAAAGCCUGACGGAGCAACGCCGAGUGAGUGAUGAAGGUCUUCGGAUCGUAAAACUCUGUUAUUAGGGAAGAACAAAUGUGUAAGUAAAUAUGCACGUCUUGACGGUACCUAAUCAGAAAGCCACGGCUAACUACGUG